rnacentral:rRNA from 1 species
GAUGAACGCUGGCGGCGUGCCUAACACAUGCAAGUCGAGCGAUUUACUGCGGUACAGAGCGGCGGACGGGUGAGUAACGCGGGGGUAACCAGCCGUGUAUACACGGAUAACAUACCGAGAGGUACGCUAAUACGAGAUAAUAUGCUUUUAUCGCAUGGUAGAAGUAUCAAAGGUUUUGCGGUACAGGAUGUAUGCGCGUCUGAUUAGCUAGUUGGUGAGGUAACGGCUCACCAAGGCGACGAUCAGUAGCCGACCUGAGAGGGAGAUCGGCGACAUUGGAACUGAGACGCAGUCCGGACUCCUACGCGAUGCGCGAAUGGCUAAUAUUGCACAGCCGGCGAAAGCAUGAUGCACCUCGGCUGCGUGAGCGAUGUUGGCCGGCAGGACGUAAAGUGCUGUCAUCAAGGAAGAUAAUGACGGUACUUGAGGAGGAAGCCCCGGCUAACUACGUG